rnacentral:tRNA from 1 species
GGCCUGAUGGUCUAGGGGUUUGAUUCUCGCUUUGGGUGCGAGAGGUCCCGGGUUCAAAUCCCGGUCAGGCCC